GGACGAACGCUGGCGGCGUGCUUAACACAUGCAAGUCGAGCGGUAAGGCCCUUUCGGGGUACGACGAGCGGCGAACGGGUGAGUAACACGUGGGUGACCUGCCCUCAGCUCUAGGGAUAAGACCUGGGAACCGGGUCUAAUACCGGAUAUGACUCCAUGACGCAUGUUGUGGGGUGGAAAGCCUUGUGCGGCUGAGGAUGGGCCCGCGGCCUAUCAGCUUGUUGGUGGGGUGAUGGCCUACCAAGGCGACGACGGGUAGCCGGCCUGAGAGGGCGACCGGCCACACUGGGACU
rnacentral:rRNA from 1 species